CCUACGUGGGGCAGCAGUGGGGAAUAUUGGACAAUGGGGGCAACCCUGAUCCAGCCAUGCCGCGUGUGUGAAGAAGGCCCUCGGGUUGUAAAGCACUUUCAGUGAGGAAGAACGCCUGGUGGUUAAUACCCAGCAGGAAAGACAUCACUCACAGAAGAAGCACCGGCUAACACCGUGCCAGCAGCCGCGGUAAUACGGAGGGUGCGAGCGUUAAUCGGAAUUACUGGGCGUAAAGCGCGCGUAGGUGGCUUGAUAAGCCGGUUGUGAAAGCCCCGGGCUCAACCUGGGAACGGCAUCCGGGACUGUCAAGCUAGAGUGCCGGAGAGGAAGGUAGAAUUCCCGGUGUAGCGGUGAAAUGCGUAGAGAUCGGGAGGAAUACCAGUGGCGAAGGCGGCCUUCUGGACUGACACUGACCCUGAGGUGCGAAAGCGUGGGUAGCAAACAGGAUUAGAUACCCUGGUAGUC
rnacentral:rRNA from 1 species